rnacentral:rRNA from 1 species
AGAGUUUGAUCAUGGCUCAGAUUGAACGCUGGCGGCAUGCCUAACACAUGCAAGUCGAACGGUAACGACGGGAGCUUGCUCCCGGGCGACGAGUGGCGGACGGGUGAGUAAUACUUAGGAAUCUGCCCAGUAGUGGGGGACAACUCGAGGAAACUCGAGCUAAUACCGCAUACGCCCUACGGGGGAAAGCGGAGGAUCCUUCGGGACUUCGCGCUAUUGGAUGAGCCUAAGUCGGAUUAGCUUGUUGGUGGGGUAAAGGCCUACCAAGGCAACGAUCUGUAGCUGGUCUGAGAGGACGAUCAGCCACACUGGGACUGAGACACGGCCCAGACUCCUACGGGAGGCAGCAGUGGGGAAUAUUGGACAAUGGGGGCAACCCUGAUCCAGCAAUGCCGCGUGUGUGAAGAAGGCCUGCGGGUUGUAAAGCACUUUCAGUAGAGAAGAAAUGCCCAUGGUUAAUACCCGUGGGUCUUGACGUAACCUACAGAAGAAGCACCGGCUAACUCCGUGCCAGCAGCCGCGGUAAUACGGAGGGUGCGAGCGUUAAUCGGAAUUACUGGGCGUAAAGCGCGCGUAGGCGGUUUGGUCAGUCGGAUGUGAAAGCCCUAGGCUCAACCUGGGAAUGGCAUUCGAUACUGCCUGACUAGAGUAUGGUAGAGGGAAGUGGAAUUUCCGGUGUAGCGGUGAAAUGCGUAGAUAUCGGAAGGAACACCAGUGGCGAAGGCGACUUCCUGGGCCAAUACUGACGCUGAGGUGCGA